rnacentral:rRNA from 2 species
AUCAUGAUUUACAUUUGAGUGAGUGGCGAACUGGUGAGUAACACGUGGGAAACCUGCCCAGAAGCGGGGGAUAACACCUGGAAACAGAUGCUAAUACCGCAUAACAACUUGGACCGCAUGGUCCGAGUUUGAAAGAUGGCUUCGGCUAUCACUUUUGGAUGGUCCCGCGGCGUAUUAGCUAGAUGGUGGGGUAACGGCUCACCAUGGCAAUGAUACGUAGCCGACCUGAGAGGGUAAUCGGCCACAUUGGGACUGAGACACGGCCCAAACUCCUACGGGAGGCAGCAGUAGGGAAUCUUCCACAAUGGACGAAAGUCUGAUGGAGCAACGCCGCGUGAGUGAAGAAGGGUUUCGGCUCGUAAAACUCUGUUGUUAAAGAAGAACAUAUCUGAGAGUAACUGUUCAGGUAUUGACGGUAUUUAACCAGAAAGCCACGGCUAACUACGUGCCAGCAGCCGCGGUAAUACGUAGGUGGCAAGCGUUGUCCGGAUUUAUUGGGCGUAAAGCGAGCGCAGGCGGUUUUUUAAGUCUGAUGUGAAAGCCUUCGGCUCAACCGAAGAAGUGCAUCGGAAACUGGGAAACUUGAGUGCAGAAGAGGACAGUGGAACUCCAUGUGUAGCGGUGAAAUGCGUAGAUAUAUGGAAGAACACCAGUGGCGAAGGCGGCUGUCUGGUCUGUAACUGACGCUGAGGCUCGAAAGUAUGGGUAGCAAACAGGAUUAGAUACCCUGGUAGUCCAUACCGUAAACGAUGAAUGCUAAGUGUUGGAGGGUUUCCGCCCUUCAGUGCUGCAGCUAACGCAUUAAGCAUUCCGCCUGGGGAGUACGGCCGCAAGGCUGAAACUCAAAGGAAUUGACGGGGGCCCGCACAAGCGGUGGAGCAUGUGGUUUAAUUCGAAGCUACGCGAAGAACCUUACCAGGUCUUGACAUACUAUGCAAAUCUAAGAGAUUAGACGUUCCCUUCGGGGACAUGGAUACAGGUGGUGCAUGGUUGUCGUCAGCUCGUGUCGUGAGAUGUUGGGUUAAGUCCCGCAACGAGCGCAACCCUUAUUAUCAGUUGCCAGCAUUAAGUUGGGCACUCUGGUGAGACUGCCGGUGACAAACCGGAGGAAGGUGGGGAUGACGUCAAAUCAUCAUGCCCCUUAUGACCUGGGCUACACACGUGCUACAAUGGAUGGUACAACGAGUUGCGAACUCGCGAGAGUAAGCUAAUCUCUUAAAGCCAUUCUCAGUUCGGAUUGUAGGCUGCAACUCGCCUACAUGAAGUCGGAAUCGCUAGUAAUCGCGGAUCAGCAUGCCGCGGUGAAUACGUUCCCGGGCCUUGUACACACCGCCCGUCACACCAUGAGAGUUUGU